rnacentral:rRNA from 1 species
CCUAAUACAUGCAAGUCGAGCGAAUGGAUUAAGAGCUUGCUCUUAUGAAGUUAGCGGCGGACGGGUGAGUAACACGUGGGUAACCUGCCCAUAAGACUGGGAUAACUCCGGGAAACCGGGGCUAAUACCGGAUAAUAUUUUGAACCGCAUGGUUCGAAAUUGAAAGGCGGCUUCGGCUGUCACUUAUGGAUGGACCCGCGUCGCAUUAGCUAGUUGGUGAGGUAACGGCUCACCAAGGCAACGAUGCGUAGCCGACCUGAGAGGGUGAUCGGCCACACUGGGACUGAGACACGGCCCAGACUCCUACGGGAGGCAGCAGUAGGGAAUCUUCCGCAAUGGACGAAAGUCUGACGGAGCAACGCCGCGUGAGUGAUGAAGGCUUUCGGGUCGUAAAACUCUGUUGUUAGGGAAGAACAAGUGCUAGUUGAAUAAGCUGGCACCUUGACGGUACCUAACCAGAAAGCCACGGCUAACUACGUGCCAGCAGCCGCGGUAAUACGUAGGUGGCAAGCGUUAUCCGGAAUUAUUGGGCGUAAAGCGCGCGCAGGUGGUUUCUUAAGUCUGAUGUGAAAGCCCACGGCUCAACCCGUGGAGGGUCAUUGGAAACUGGGAGACUUGAGUGCAGAAGAGGAAAGUGGAAUUUCCAUGUGUAGCG